GAGAACCCGUCAUGGUUUAUUCGGUUUCUCCAUGUCUUGUACUUCUGGCUCUGCUGGUCUGCGCAGGACCCGUAUCUGGAGGCGAUCGCUUUACUUACGAUUACUGGUCUCUUCGAGUCGGAGGUCUGAUCUUCGCUGGAGUCAUGCUGGGGAUAGGACUGUUUGUGCUUCUCCUUGACUUUAACGCGUUUAAGUGUAACAGAAGAGCAACAAAAUAGUCCUGUUUUUCUGGAAGAACACCCGCAGAGCUUGCGAAGGAGGAGAAUGAGAAAUGCAAGCAGGUGCUGCCACCUGGAGUCUGUUUCCGGUACUGCAUUCAUUCAUGCACACAAUGUGAAACUAGAACCACCUUUUUUGCAUUUCUGUAUUGCAUACACUUGAUCCAAACAGUUUUCAUAACUUCUGCAUACAGUAUUAUGAGCCAGAACAAAUUCUUGGGGGGAGUAAACAUAAAAUCCCCAAAACAUAGUUUAGUAACUGGAAAACUGAUUAAAAUUUGUUCACAUUUAUGGGAUGCUGGUUGAUUGAGACUCCCAAAUUUUUUUCUGUAUUAGAGGACUGGGGAUUGAUAGCCCAAUUUAAUUUAGUUAAAUUUAGUGUUAUAGUUAGAACAUACUAUGUUUGGCUAAUAAUGUACCUGUUAGAUGUGUUUUUUAAUUUAUUGUAUAUUAAAGAAGUCAGGUUUGGAUCUGACAGGUUUUUGGCCAUAUCAGAAAUAAAAUAUGAGAAAGUAAAACAUAUUUCCGUCUUCAUCUGUGACCCAAG